GAGAAUUCUCAUCCCAUCCUCAAGUCUCCACUCUCUCAAUCAGCUUGAUGCCAGACGCCUCCAGGAUCUCCAACGCUUCACAGAUGCAAAGACACAGGUCAGAAUGCUGGAAUCAUAGGCAACAUACCUCAUUCAUAAACUUUAGUCGUGUGUACGUGUGAUGCGGUUGAAGGUGCAGUACCAGGGCUCCUAUCGCUGCCGGUACCCCGACGGUCAGGGCCAUGGCGGUGGUGGACCUGCCAUUCUCGGACUUUCCGAACUCCAGCAGCGUCGCUUGGUGCUUCUCGGCGGGUCGCCCGUCGGGGUACUCCACCUCGACUUCAUGGUGGAGCAGUACCAUGUCCUGAAUUAUGAGAGCAAAGAGCAACGGCAGCAAGAUACUUAAAACACUAGCAUACCAGAGAGCAAUGCCCAAAAAUCGUUGAAAGGAGCGCAGUUCUAAAAGAAAAAGGGAAGGAAGAGAAGCACAUACUGAUUGAUGGCAGUCCAGAGUUCCAGUUAGUCGAAGUGGAAGCUGGGCAGACUGGUACGCUAAGGGGACUGGAGUCUGAACUUUAUAACCUACUCAAUGAUUGAGUGGAAAUAUCUAAAGGGUAUGAUCUUGCUUUUGCAAUAGACGUACUGAUCUGUCCUUCUUGUUUUUGUUUUUUUCUUUGGGGGGGUGGUAGACUGAUAGGGAUGGGUGGUGGUGGGCUAGAAGCUACGUACCAGAUCCAAAUCUUCCAUCAGAUGAUCUUGGACAAUUUGGAUUCUAUUUACAUCAUUAUGUUCAGUAAUGGACAAAAUGACCAUGAGCAGUUACCAUGCAUCACUAGCAGUUUGGCAUGGCCAGCACACUUUUCCUAAUUAUGUGACUACUGACAAAAUGGAACAUCUUGUUUUAGACGAUUUAGCUUUCUUGACUAUAAAUCUUUUGAUGCGUUCUUGCAAAAAAUUGCUCUAAAGAGCAAAAUGUUAAUUACCAAACAAGAUACAACAUGCUGUAUUUAGUUUGUACUGAAAAUAUUUUGCAUCAAUAAGAACUUUUAUUUCUUACU